GACGAACGCUGGCGGCGUGCUUAACACAUGCAAGUCGAACGGAAAGGCCCUGCUUUUGUGGGGUGCUCGAGUGGCGAACGGGUGAGUAACACGUGAGUAACCUGCCCUUGACUUUGGGAUAACUUCAGGAAACUGGGGCUAAUACCGGAUAGGAGCUCCUGCUGCAUGGUGGGGGUUGGAAAGUUUCGGCGGUUGGGGAUGGACUCGCGGCUUAUCAGCUUGUUGGCGGGGUAGUGGCUUACCAAGGCUUUGACGGGUAGCCGGCCUGAGAGGGUGACCGGCCACAUUGGGACUGAGAUACGGCCCAGACUCCUACGGGAGGCAGCAGUGGGGAAUAUUGCACAAUGGGCGGAAGCCUGAUGCAGCAACGCCGCGUGCGGGAUGACGGCCUUCGGGUUGUAAACCGCUUUCGCCUGUGACGAAGCGUGAGUGACGGUAAUGGGUAAAGAAGCACCGGCUAACUACGUG
rnacentral:rRNA from 1 species